rnacentral:rRNA from 1 species
GGACCCGCACAAGUAGUGGAGCAUGUGGUUUAAUUCGAAGAUACGCGCAGAACCUUACCAACACUUGACAUGUUCGUCGCGACUCUAAGAGAUUAGAGUUUUCGGUUCGGCCGGACGAAACACAGGUGCUGCAUGGCUGUCGUCAGCUCGUGUCGUGAGAUGUUGGGUUAAGUCCCGCAACGAGCGCAACCCUCACUUUUAGUUGCCAUCAUUAAGUUGGGCACUCUGAAAGAACUGCCAGUGAUAAGCUGGAGGAAGGUGGGGAUGACGUCAAGUCCUCAUGGCCCUUACGUGUUGGGCUACACACGUGCUACAAUGGUAUCUACAACAGGAAGCAAAACAGCGAUGUUAAGCAAAUCCUUAAAAGAUACCUCAGUUCGGAUUGCACUCUGCAACUCGAGUGCAUGAAGCUGGAAUUACUAGUAAUCG